UUUUGAAUUGUGAUCGUAGGCGCCCGCAGGAGAAACUAUUGUUGUAGGACCAAGAGAUAAUUGCAUAUUUCUUCCUUCUCCCUCUUAACAAUCAUGAGGCCAUGCUGAGAAUUAAAUGGUUGAUGACAUUAGGUGAUAUUUCCUAGAAUUUUAUGAAACUAAUUAUGAAAUUUUACAGUAAGGAGAAAUAGGUGACAUUGCACGGGAAACGUG
rnacentral:lncRNA from 1 species